UCAUUCGGAUUGUAGUCUGCAACUCGACUACAUGAAGCUGGAAUCGCUAGUAAUCGCGAAUCAGAAUGUCGCGGUGAAUACGUUCCCGGGUCUUGUACACACCGCCCGUCACACCAUGGGAGUCGGGAAUGCCCGAAGUCAGUGACCCAACCGGAAGGAGGGAGCUGCCGAAGGCAGGCUCGAUAACUGGGGUGAAGUCGUAACAAGGUAUC
rnacentral:rRNA from 1 species